AUUGAACGCUGGCGGCAGGCUUAACACAUGCAAGUCGAGCGAGCGGCGGACGGGUGAGUAACACGUGGGUGACCUGCCCUUCACUUCGGGAUAAGCCUGGGAAACUGGGUCUAAUACCGGAUAGUGUGGGAUGGGCCCGCGGCCUAUCAGCUUGUUGGUGGGGUAAUGGCUACCAAGGCGCGACGGGUAGCCGGCCUGAGAGGGUGGACGGCCACAUUGGGACUGAGACACGGCCCAGACUCCUACGGGAGGCAGCAGUGGGGAAUAUUGCACAAUGGGCGAAAGCCUGACGGAGCAACGCCGCGUGAGUGAUGAAGGUCUUCGGAUCGUAAAGCUCUGUUAUUAGGGACACGGUACCUAAUCAAAAAGCCACGGCUAACUACGUGCCAGCAGCCGCGGUAAUAC
rnacentral:rRNA from 1 species